UACGUAGGGCGCAAGCGUUGUUCGGAAUCACUGGGCGUAAAGCGCACGCAGGCGGAUUGAUAAGUCGGGGGUGAAAUCCCGGGGCUCAACCUCGGAAUUGCCUUCGAUACUGUCUGUCUUGAGUCCGGGAGAGGUGAGUGGAACUCCUAGUGUAGAGGUGAAAUUCGUAGAUAUUAGGAAGAACACCAGUGGCGAAGGCGGCUCACUGGCCCGGUACUGACGCUCAUGUGCGAAAGCGUGGGGAGCAAACAGG
rnacentral:rRNA from 1 species